UAGGGAAUCUUCGGCAAUGGACGAAAGUCUGACCGAGCAACGCCGCGUGAGUGAAGAAGGUUUUCGGAUCGUAAAACUCUGUUGGUAGAGAAGAACGUUGGUGAGAGUGGAAAGCUCAUCAAAUGACGGUAACUACCCAGAAAGGGACGGCUAACUACGUGCCAGCAGCCGCGGUAAUACGUAGGUCCCGAGCGUUGUCCGGAUUUAUUGGGCGUAAAGCGAGCGCAGGUGGUUUAUUAAGUCUGGUGUAAAAGGCAGUGGCUCAACCAUUGUAUGCAUUGGAAACUGGUAGACUUGAGUGCAGGAGAGGAGAGUGGAAUUCCAUGUGUAGCGGUGAAAUGCGUAGAUAUAUGGAGGAACACCGGUGGCGAAAGCGGCUCUCUGGCCUGUAACUGACACUGAGGCUCGAAAGCGUGGGGAGCAAACAGGAUUAGAUACCCUGGUAGUCCACGCCGUAAACGAUGAGUGCUAGAUGUAGGGAGCUAUAAGUUCUCUGUAUCGCAGCUAACGCAAUAAGCACUCCGCCUGGGGAGUACGACCGCAAGGUUGAAAC
rnacentral:rRNA from 1 species